GAGUUUGAUCGUGGCUCAGGAUGAACGCUGGCGGCGUGCUUAAUACAUGCAAGUCGAACGAGGAGCUAUUAUCUUCGGAUGAGAGAAUUCCUAGUGGCGAACGGGUGAGUAACGCGUUGGUGACCUGCCCCAAAGAAGGGGAUAACAGUUCGAAAGAGCUGCUAAUACCCUAUGUUAUCAGUUGGAUUAGAUGCCUUCUGAUUAAAGGAGUAAUCCGCUUUGGGAGGGACCUGCGUCCCAUCAGCUAGUUGGUAGGGUAACGGCCUACCAAGGCAAUGACGGGUAGGGGACCUGAGAGGGUGACCCCCCACAAUGGCACUGAAAUACGGGCCGAUACACCUACGGGUGGCAGCAGUAGGGAAGUAUUGGACAAUGGGCGGAAAGACCUGAUCCAGCAACGCCGCGUGCACGA
rnacentral:rRNA from 1 species